CCACAGAAUUCACGGUCUAUCCAAGUGCUCGUGAUACUGUCUUCAAGAGCACACCUGGAUUGCAAAAGAAGCCGUGUGAAAGUUUAAAAAAAGUGGACUCAUAUAAAGUACUCCCCUGGCCAUAUAGUGAGUUAAACAAGCAAUCAACAACAGAAAGAUUGCAAGACCCUCAGUGUGAGGAUGGCCUUAGGCCUGAGUCUAAGCAACUCCAUUUUAAAAACUCCAGUUCAAAACCUGUAGUUUCACCAGGCACACCCACAGAUCCCUCCAGUGAAGCCUCAAACAAGUCACUUCCGCUCUCCCUGAUAACAGAGUGAAGCCCCUGGCAGGCUGUCCUCGCCUGAUAAGAGGGAAAGGCAAGAAGACCAGGGUGGAGACCGCCAACCAGACGUUUCUGACCCCACGGUAAAUGAUGUCACUGAGAAAUCCAGUGGAGGCUGAUAAGGAUUGAAAAGUCAGAAAGCCCCCAAAUUUAGUAUAAAUAAUAGAGCUGAUGAACAGGGAUUCAGCCAGCUGAAACAAGGAUGAGGACCUGACAUCACAUCACUUGCCAUCGUUCCUGAGCCUCUGCAUGAUCGUCACUGCUCUCAGACUCUACCGCCUGGUCUGGACCUUGGUGAGAGCCGAAACUUCUCCCUGUGACCCUCUCCUCAACUGGAAGUCCACUCUACGCCAGGAAAAGUUGGCCUUGGUUCCAGACCUGGUCACUGUGGUCUGAGUGAGUGCACAUCUGCUGGACUUAAAGCCUAAGGAGAUGCUUCUAUCUACGUGACUAUGUCAACGGUCUGGAAAUUAAAACCCAGAUUUGGCUUGUGACAGCUUUGCUUGAAGUUGGAGUUGGAGUGGCCAAGGUUUCUCAACAGCAGAUACAGAAUGAUGAGGGCAUUAUAUAGAGAAGCCUUUACAGUCCUCAAAGGCCCACAUAUGGAAGGCCUGGUCCCCAGCCUGGUGCUCGCAGAAGGUGUGGGACUUUCAGGGGAUGGGGCCUGGUGGGAAAAGGCCCUAAAGCAACACAUCCAUAAGCCAUGGACGGAACCUCCAAAGCCAGCAGCCACAGUGAACCUUUCCUUGUAAGUGGCUUACCUGAGCUCUUCUGCUGCCAACACGCUAGAGCAAGGUCAUUUCUUGAACUCCGGUUCAAUGUCAGGCAUCCUUUGCAGAGGUAUAGGAUGCUGUAAGAUGCACUGGGGUCCUGAGAAGAGAGCACGAGGAUUCCGAUCUAGGUGCUGAACUACCAGCUCAAAGGUGUUCCUGAACCCAAUUUUGUUGCUCCUGAGUGGUUCCUCCCUUGCUGGACACACUACAGACAGGUACGCAUGAAACUGGCAGAUUUAGACUGACCAGCUCUGUCGUACUGGUAAAAGCCCUGGGGCAUGCUCACUGAACCUCGACCGUCCUGGCUGCGCAGUAUCUCACUACUCUCCCAUGAAGAAGAGACCUGUGGUGCAAGGCCACGUCAGUGAACCUGCAAUGUCCCAGCCUUCGCCAAGGAACUAACCCUCCGCCCGGCCGUGCUGAUAGGGUGGCUGCCCCACCUGGCACUAGUUACGUCACUCUGCACCCAGGAGGGGUCACCAGCAAACUCCUCCCUACACCCUUGUGACCACCAAGCCUCCCCAGAAGCUGCCAUGCGUCCAGGCUGGGGGACAGCAGACAGGCCCUGCCCAGAGCAGCUGCUGUUCCUGUGCUGAAGACAGACUCCAGGCUGUCAUAAAACAGAGUAGAGAGGAAGCCCCAGAAAGCUGCCCAGGUGCUGGGGCCCGGCAGCAAUGCUAUAUGCUGUGACAGUGGCCUGCUGGACCAGAAACAAGGACUCAGCCACCUACCUGGCUUCCUCUGUGCUGGACAGCACUGGUCUAAAUAAAGCCACCUGGUCACAGCCACCCAGGGUUCCAUCUGCCUCCAGAAGAGGAGAUUCUGCAGCAAACCUCCUACCAGGGAUAUUGCCGGUGCCUCUGACACCUCAAAUCACACAGCAUUCCCACAGUACAUAAAAACUUCAGGUCUCACGGCUGGUGUACAGGGAGGUUAACAGAAAGGGACUGGUACUUGCUUGAUUUGGUUGAGGAUCAUUAUUUCAUUCUCUCUGCUUCUGUAGAUUUGAAAUUUCCUUACAAAAAGUUAUCUGUGUUAUUCUAAAAUGUAACCCCUCCCCACUAGGGACCUGGCCUUUCCCUUCCAAGGUCUUGUCUUUCUCUACGUUGGGGAGUCACGUUGGGUAACAGGGAGAUGAAUUUUGUAAAUAGCAAGGCCUGUGCUCCAGUGGGGGGCAACCAUCAGCCACAAACCACAGCCUGGGGAGGAGAUUCCCAAGCCCCUCCAAGCCCACUCACCCAGGCUAUUGGCUGUGUGUGGAGUGAGGGUCCUGGUCCUCUUCUACCACAGGGCAUUUGCACAGUGGGGGCUGGCAUCUCACUUCUCAUAGAACUGCACACACAGCAGAUCCUCUGAGAAUAAGCCACAGGCAGUGAUCUGCAGUGGCCUUGACCACCAUGGCCACAGGACCAGAUGUCACCUGCCCUGUGCCCCUCGGCGGCCCUGACCAUGGACCGGACAUCACCUGGAUCUGAGCACCUAGCGUGACAGAGACUGAAGCUUGUGCCAUUUCAUAUUCCUCACUUUCUCUAGUGACACUAGCCUUGUGAUCACCAGACGAUGACUGGGUUCCAAAGAGCAUCAAAAUUGUAGGUAAGACUUAGAGGGUUUGCCAAAUGUGGCCCCACAGGGUCCUAUAACCCAUGGCUGAGGACAAGCCCACAGCCACAGGACAGCAGGCCCUCGUGGUUCCUGCAGGCUUCAGUGUGACCGUGGCACACAACAGGCCCCGUGUCCCCCUCUCCAGGCAGCCUCACCAGGAGGCCCCUUCACAGAGGUCUCUCAUGUGGCUUUUCCUCCCCCUCCUACUUUUGCAGCCAGUGUGAUCUCUCAACAUAUGACCAACACACCCAUGGCCUAGUAACAAUGCCCUUAGAUUCAUGGCUCUCAGGGAAGCCUUCGACAGCUGGGAGAGUAGUUAAAGCAGGUUUCUACAUGACACAUCCAUAACUGGCUUUGCAUUGGAGCUAAUGGAAAACAGACUUUCUGUAAACUGGGAAAAUGAAUUGUGCGAUCCACACAUAGAAAACUA